GAUGAACGCUGGCGGCGUGCCUAAUACAUGCAAGUCGAGCGAACGGACGAGAAGCUUGCUUCUCUGAUGUUAGCGGCGGACGGGUGAGUAACACGUGGAUAACCUACCUAUAAGACUGGGAUAACUUCGGGAAACCGGAGCUAAUACCGGAUAAUAUUUUGAACCGCAUGGUUCAAAAGUGAAAGACGGUCUUGCUGUCACUUAUAGAUGGAUCCGCGCUGCAUUAGCUAGUUGGUAAGGUAACGGCUUACCAAGGCAACGAUGCAUAGCCGACCUGAGAGGGUGAUCGGCCACACUGGAACUGAGACACGGUCCAGACUCCUACGGGAGGCAGCAGUAGGGAAUCUUCCGCAAUGGGCGAAAGCCUGACGGAGCAACGCCGCGUGAGUGAUGAAGGUCUUCGGAUCGUAAAACUCUGUUAUUAGGGAAGAACAUAUGUGUAAGUAACUGUGCACAUCUUGACGGUACCUAAUCAGAAAGCCACGGCUAACUACGUGCCAGCAGCCGCGGUAAUACGUAGGUGGCAAGCGUUAUCCGGAAUUAUUGGGUGUAAAGCGCGCGUAGGCGGUUUUUUAAGUCUGAUGUGAAAGCCCACGGCUCAACCGUGGAGGGUCAUUGGAAACUGGGAAACUUGAGUGCAGAAGAGGAAAGUGGAAUUCCAUGUGUAGCGGUGAAAUGCGCAGAGAUAUGGAGGAACACCAGUGGCGAAGGCGACUUUCUGGUCUGUAACUGACGCUGAUGUGCGAAAGCGUGGGGAUCAAACAGGAUUAGAUACCCUGGUAGUCCACGCCGUAAACGAUGAGUGCUAAGUGUUAGGGGGUUUCCGCCCCUUAGUGCUGCAGCUAACGCAUUAAGCACUCCGCCUGGGGAGUACGACCGCAAGGUUGAAACUCAAAGGAAUUGACGGGGACCCGCACAAGCGGUGGAGCAUGUGGUUUAAUUCGAAGCAACGCGAAGAACCUUACCAAAUCUUGACAUCCUUUGACAACUCUAGAGAUAGAGCUUUCCCCUUCGGGGGACAAAGUGACAGGUGGUGCAUGGUUGUCGUCAGCUCGUGUCGUGAGAUGUUGGGUUAAGUCCCGCAACGAGCGCAACCCUUAAGCUUAGUUGCCAUCAUUAAGUUGGGCACUCUAAGUUGACUGCCGGUGACAAACCGGAGGAAGGUGGGGAUGACGUCAAAUCAUCAUGCCCCUUAUGAUUUGGGCUACACACGUGCUACAAUGGACAAUACAAAGGGCAGCGAAACCGUGAGGUCAAGCAAAUCCCAUAAAGUUGUUCUCAGUUCGGGUUGUAGUCUGCAACUCGACUACAUGAAGCUGGAAUCGCUAGUAAUCGUAGAUCAGCAUGCUACGGUGAAUACGUUCCCGGGUCU
rnacentral:rRNA from 1 species